GGGUUGUGAGGUUAAGCGACUAAGCGUACACGGUGGAUGCCCUGGCAGUCAGAGGCGAUGAAGGACGUGCUAAUCUGCGAUAAGCGCCGGUAAGGUGAUAUGAACCGUUAUAACCGGCGAUUUCCGAAUGGGGAAACCCAGUGUGUUUCGACACACUAUCAUUACGUGAAUACAUAGCGUAAUGAAGCGAACCGGGGGAACUGAAACAUCUAAGUACCCCGAGGAAAAGAAAUCAACCGAGAUUCCCCCAGUAGCGGCGAGCGAACGGGGAGGAGCCCAGAGCCUGAAUCAGCAUGUGUGUUAGUGGAAGCGUCUGGAAAGGCGCGCGAUACAGGGUGACAGCCCCGUACACAAAAGCGCAUGUGCUGUGAGCUCGAUGAGUAGGGCGGGACACGUGGUAUCCUGUCUGAAUAUGGGGGGACCAUCCUCCAAGGCUAAAUACUCCUGACUGACCGAUAGUGAACCAGUACCGUGAGGGAAAGGCGAAAAGAACCCCGGCGAGGGGAGUGAAAAAGAACCUGAAACCGUGUACGUACAAGCAGUGGGAGCACAGGUUUACCUGUGUGACUGCGUACCUUUUGUAUAAUGGGUCAGCGACUUAUAUUCUGUAGCAAGGUUAACCGAAUAGGGGAGCCGUAGGGAAACCGAGUCUUAACCGGGCGUUAAGUUGCAGGGUAUAGACCCGAAACCCGGUGAUCUAGCCAUGGGCAGGUUGAAGGUUGGGUAACACUAACUGGAGGACCGAACCGACUAAUGUUGAAAAAUUAGCGGAUGACCUGUGGCUGGGGGUGAAAGGCCAAUCAAACCGGGAGAUAGCUGGUUCUCCCCGAAAGCUAUUUAGGUAGCGCCUCGUGAAUUCAUCUCCGGGGGUAGAGCACUGUUUCGGCUAGGGGGCCAUCCCGGCUUACCAACCCGAUGCAAACUGCGAAUACCGGAGAAUGUUAUCACGGGAGACACACGGCGGGUGCUAACGUCCGUCGUGAAGAGGGAAACAACCCAGACCGCCAGCUAAGGUCCCAAAGUCAUGGUUAAGUGGGAAACGAUGUGGGAAGGCCCAGACAGCCAGGAUGUUGGCUUAGAAGCAGCCAUCAUUUAAAGAAAGCGUAAUAGCUCACUGGUCGAGUCGGCCUGCGCGGAAGAUGUAACGGGGCUAAACCAU
rnacentral:rRNA from 2 species